rnacentral:rRNA from 1 species
AGCAGCCGCGGUAAUUCCAGCUCCAAUAGCGUAUAUUAAAGUUGUUGCAGUUAAAAAGCUCGUAGUUGAAUUUCGAGAUCGGUUUAUUGGUCGUGCUAUUGUACGUACUGGUAUUACCGGUUUCUCCUUUCUGACGAACCUUAAUGCCAUUAAUUUGGUGUUUUGGGAAAUCAGGACUGUUACUUUGAAAAAAUUAGAGUGUUUAAAGCAGGCUCACGCUUGAAUACAUUAGCAUGGAAUAACGGAAUAGGACGUUUGAUUCUAUUUUGUUGGUUUCUAGGAUCGACGUAAUGAUUAAUAGGGAUAGUUGGGGGCAUUAGUAUUCAAUUGUCAGAGGUGAAAUUCUUGGAUUUAUUGAAGACUAACUACUGCGAAAGCAUUUGCCAAGGAUGUUUUCAUUAAUCAAGAACGAAAGUUAGGGGAUCGAAGACGAUCAGAUACCGUCGUAGUCUUAACCAUAAACUAUGCCGACUAGGGAUCGGAUGAUGUUAAUUUUUUAAUGUACUCGUUCGGCGCCUUA